UGCUGUGUGUGUGUGUAGUGUAUAGUGUGUAGUGUGUGUAGUGUGUGGUGUGUAGUGUGUGUGUGUAGUGUGUAGUGUGUGUGUGUGUAGUGUGGGUGUAGUGUGUAGUGUGGGUGUAGUGUUUAGUGUGUAGUGUGUAGUGGUUGUAGUGUGUAGUGUGUAGUGUGUGUGUGUAGUGUGGGUGUAGUUCCAUGUUUAAUCUCUCUCUCUCUCUCUCUCUCGCUCUCUCUCUCUCUCUCUCUCUCUCUCUCUCUCUCUCUCUCUCUCUCUCUCAGGGUCGUGGUGGAGCAGUUGGCGCCCGAGGAAUGCCUGGAGAGUCGGGGUCUAAGGGAGACGGAGGCUUCGAUGGCCUGCCCGGCCUACCUGGUGCCAAGGGACACAGGGUGAGCAACAGUAACGUAUCAAGCACCUGCAUGUGUACCGCUCCCUAAAUGAGAAGGCUGUUCUGAAAUGAAUGGUUGAGAUCCUUUAUCCUUCAAGGAAAUGCCCGGUGAAGCAAACAGGAAACUCCAUGUGACCGACCGGCUUGAUUCGGUCUUAUGUAGAACAUUUUUUUUAACUUACGUUGGAUAAAAGUAGAGACUCAGAGCUAGAAAAUGAUAGAUCAUACACUAUAGUUGAGGAGCAAUGUGAAAGUAAUUGUGCUUUGAAACUUGAUACACUUGUAAACCCACUUUUGAGAAAAUGGCCCUUGAAUGUUUUGGUAAACCUACUGGAGAUCUCCUUGUUGUCUACACCCAUUCAGCAUAGUUCACACCUUCUUAAGCCUUAGCCACACCCAUCUCUUUAAGGAUUCACAUGUGAGGCCAUGUACAG
rnacentral:lncRNA from 13 species